UGGGGAAUAUUGCACAAUGGGGGAAACCCUGAUGCAGCGACGCCGCGUGAGCGAAGAAGGCUUUCGAGUCGUAAAGCUCUGUCCUAUGAGAAGAUAAUGACGGUAUCAUAGGAGGAAGCCCUGGCUAAAUACGUGCCAGCAGCCGCGGUAAUACGUAGGUCCCGAGCGUUGUCCGGAAUUAUUGGGCGUAAAGCGCGCGCAGGUGGUUUAGAAAGUCUGAUGUGAAAGCCCACGGCUCAACCGUGGAGGGUCAUUGGAAACUAAUAAACUUGAGUGCAGGAGAGAAAAGUGGAAUUCCUAGUGUAGCGGUGAAAUGCGUAGAGAUUAGGAGGAACACCGGUGGCGAAAGCGGCUUUUUGGCCUGCAACUGACACUGAGGCGCGAAAGCGUGGGGAGCAAACAGG
rnacentral:rRNA from 1 species